UACAGAGGGGGCUAGCGUUGUUCGGAAUUACUGGGCGUAAAGGGCGCGUAGGCGGCCUGUUAAGUCGAACGUGAAAUCCCCGGGCUCAACCCGGGAACUGCGUCCGAUACUGGCAGGCUUGAAUCCGGGAGAGGGAUGUGGAAUUCCAGGUGUAGCGGUGAAAUGCGUAGAUAUCUGGAGGAACACCGGUGGCGAAGGCGGCAUCCUGGACCGGUAUUGACGCUGAGGCGCGAAAGCCAGGGGAGCAAACGGG
rnacentral:rRNA from 1 species